AGCCCUGAUAUCCAUCCGAGCCUCUCCCCUUCUCCUCGCAGCCGCGCACCGCCGCCGGUACUCCCGCCGGCGCCGCCCGCGCUCCACCUCCUGUCUCUCCUUUGAUCUGCACCAUACGCCCAGGUCCUCCCUCCUCCGCUUCCCAGGCCUCGCAGCCCCUUCACCUUCCAGCGACCGCGGCGCCAGAUCAGCGGCCCGACUGAGGCGGCGGCGAACCGUAGCCACAACGGGUCGCCGGCGCCCGUCCUCGCCUCGGCUGCCUCCUUGCCUCCUCGGUUUUGCGGCCGUAAGGAGCUGCAUCCGGCCUGGGAUGAGGUCCGGCACAGGGAACCGGCCUGGGGAAAUGGACCGAUGGAGGCCGCGUCGAACCCUAGCCGCAACCGGUCGUUGGCGCCCAUCCCGCGCCGCGGCUGAUCACCCCGAGCUCCCUCCUCGUCUCCUCUGUUUUGCGGCCGAAGGAGAUGCAGCCUGCGUGGGACGAGGUUGGACGCAGUGAACCGGCCCGGCGAAAUGACCCACGGGGGCACCAAGCACGGCGAGGACCAGCCUCCUCCUCUUUCUCUUUGACCUCAAUCAAUGACGCUCUCUACCAUACACCGUGGCCUUUGGCAUUGGCUGGCUUCGUGGAACAUUUUUCACUGGAAAACAACCAAAUCCAAUGUCGAGAAGCUUGGCGUUGACAAGAUCUGAAGCUCUGCACCAGACUCUCAAGCACUAAAGCAGAACGCAACCACCUUGGCCAUUCCUCCGGUGUGCAUGAUUUGACGCUCUCUACCCUACAUGUACAUGAGCUACUGUACUCCAGCUUUGUUCAUGGACGACUGGCCUGCAAAAACUCACUCCGACACCUCCUGCGUGGCUUCCCCUGCGCCUCUCGUGGCCACUUUUCUCUGACUCCGGCAUAGACCUCAAUGACACUCUACCUGAGCCGGUGGCCCUCGGCAUCGACCUCGGUGUCAUGAAGAACAUCCAAGAUUAUAUGGUCGAGAAGCUCAGCGUCGACAAGAGCAUCAUCCUAGAGCUCUGCAUCAUCCUCUACAAGCAAGUACCGAACCACCAUGGCCAUGCCACUGGCCAUUGUGCACCAAUUUGACGACGAUGAUUUCCACAGCUUUGUUCAUGGAUGGCUGGCUUACGAAAAGCUCACGCCGACGCCUCCGGUGUGGCUUCCCCUACGCCUCCAGCAUAGGGUUCUUGUACAUGCGAAAGUGCAUGAUUUUUCGAUGGUUGUCUAGCUGCAGUUGUCUCCCCAUGUAAUGGCAUCAAGUUCAGAGCGCCCCAACUGCCUCUCCUUCGACCGUGGUUCAGGAGAGCAUGUCUAAAGAAAAGAAAAACCUGGAUAAUCAUGGUUGUUACAGGCCUAGGGAAAUUGAUACACUCAUGGGCCACCUGAUGUUGGUUGUCAAGCUUGUUUGCUGCGACCAUCAGCCGAUGUAUCCUUCAUCAGUGCACGGCCAUGGCGAUGAAAUGCUGCGUUGAUGGGUCUAGUUUCAGAAUUAAGCUAUGUAGUUUGGCUCUGUCAUGUUGCAAUGUCUGUGAAGGAAGGACACAAAGUGCUAGUGCUUCCUGGGCUGUGUAGACCCCAAAUAUUUUUAUUAGCUCAUCUGAGAAGUACUCCCUCUGUUCGUAACUGUAAGUCUUUUUAGAUAUUCCAAUUCGGACUGCAUACGGAGCAAAAUGAGUGAAUGUACACUCUAAAAUAUGUAGUCCAUAUUGACAUCUCUAGAAAGACUUUUAUUUAGGAACGGAGGGAGUAGUUGAUGACAUAAAUAAUCAACUUGGUUUUGGGUCAAAA